rnacentral:rRNA from 1 species
UACGUAGGGGGCAAGCGUUGUCCGGAUUUAUUGGGCGUAAAGGGCGUGUAGGCGGCCUGACAAGUCUGCUGUGAAAACUCGAGGCUCAACCUCGAGAUGUCGGCGGAAACUGUCUGGCUAGAGUCCGGAAGAGGAGAGUGGAAUUCCUGGUGUAGCGGUGAAAUGCGCAGAUAUCAGGAAGAACACCUACGGCGAAGGCAGCUCGCUGGGACGGUACUGACGCUGAGACGCGAAAGCGUGGGGAGCGAACAGG